GUACACGCUGUGACUAGCAUAUCAAUAAGCGGAGGAAAAGAAACUAACAAGGAUUCCCUUAGUAACGGCGAGUGAAGCGGGAAGAGCUCAAAUUUGAAAUCUUCAAGGUUUACCUUUACGAAUUGUAGUUUAAAGAAGUGUUUUCUGCUGAAGUUUUGGUAAAAGUUCUUUGGAAUAGGACAUCAUAGAGGGUGAGAAUCCCGUAUUUGACCAUUAUUUUCAGCUGUGUGAUACACUUUCAAAGAGUCGGAUUGUUUGGGAAUGCAGUCCAAAAUGGGUGGUAAAUUUCAUCUAAAGCUAAAUAUUGGCGAGAGACCGAUAGCGAACAAGUACCGUGAGGGAAAGAUGAAAAGAACUUUGAAAAGAGAGUUAAACAGUACGUGAAAUUGUCAAAAGGGAAGCGUUUGACACCAGUGUUGUUUUUCUGAAAAUCAAUUAAAGAACUGUUUAUGCUAAGCUGUUUAGACUUUAUCAGCUAUCUGUUUAGUUUUGAGCUUUUCUUUAAUGCACUUUUCAGUUAACAAGUCAACAUCAAUUUCUUUUGCUGUAAAAAAGCUUGAGGAAGGUGGCUUGAGAUUCGUCUUAAGUGUUUAUAGCCUCUUGCCUAUGCAGUCGGAGAGAUUGAGGUCUGCAGCGUAGAUCCUUCGGGGCUAAAUGCAUUUGUGCUAAGUUAUAGCAUUUUAUAGACAACUUGUUGACUAUGAUUUGUCUUGUAGCUUACUCGCUUAUGUUAUUUUACCUACGCUUAGGAUGUUGACGCAUGAGAUAUACGC
rnacentral:rRNA from 1 species